GAUAAAGCCUGGCUUAAUCAGGGAAUCCAAGCACUGUUUCCUAGGCUGACCUCAGUGAGCAAACAAUUGCACUACGGUGCCAACUUGAAACGUCAAGAGAAGCAAAUAACUCUCGCGGCACCUCAGGCUUGGAAUCUCAGAACGGGGGUGCCUUGAUACUCCCAGUGCGUGAGGUCAGCCCCCACGCCCUGUUGAGACACACAUGCCUAAGCGCUCCGCCUGCAACACGCUCUUGCUUAGAGGUACCAAAAUAGAAGACUACCAGAAAGAGAGGUGUUUAGUUACGUAUCACGGAUGACUGUCACAAGCAAACUUAACCCAAACAAUAAAGGUAGCAUAUCCCAAA